rnacentral:lncRNA from 1 species
UGGAACGAACUUUCCAACCUCAUGAAAUGCGAUAAUCGUUUCUCUAUCUCAUAAUGGGGAUUAAAAAUUAGCUAAUCUACAGGUAAGAUUGUUUCCAUUUAUGAAGAAAUGCAGGUAGAAGUGGACGACUGUAAACCUGGCAUGUGGAAAUAUGUUCUCGUGUUUAGCAGAAACGAUGGAGAGAUUCUGUCUUUCCGGUCAUCCACCAGCAAGCCAACUUAUUAGCUACACAAAAUUACCCGGGUAUUGCUGUCUGAACAAUAGAUAUGCAUAGUUAUGAGAUUAGAGCGAAAUCUAGGUUUAAUCGGGUUUUACUUUCAUUGUUUGGAUAUUUUAAUUACCGAAUCGUUGGGUUUAAAAUUGUAUAUUCCUAUUUAUAAACGAUAGGACGACAUUCAGUAGCUGGUAUUCUGAAAAAAAUUGUAUUUAAUGUUGUAUCUUUAUAUUUACCGCAGUAAUGUCUUCAUGGACGUCCAAAUGAGAAAGCCAUUAGAGAGGCCUUGUUGGUGGAUUCUGAGAACCUGCCUCUGGUAUGUUAGCCCAACCUGUCCCACAGCAUGUUUGCACAGUGCACGAGCUGUUCAGCAGGAUUGCCUACUGGAGAUCACAAUGCCACGAGAAAGCUCUUAUCUCCAGCGAGCUGUGUGUGGAGUGGAUCGUGGCCACCAACUGGGGUUGGAUAUUAAAUCGGGGACCAUUGAAAGAUCUAAUGCAUAGCCAAAAUAAGUUCAGCCAGCUGCUCUGGGAAUUGACUUGUCGUGAGGAUAUUUUCCUAGUUCCCAUUGUAAGUGUUCGAAAUGAUCUAGCCCUACUAAGAUGACAAGAUAUGAUAACUUUUUUGUUAACUUGGCAGACCAUCAAUCUUAGAGGCAGAAGACGAUUCUCCGCAUUUUCUUCAGAGUACAAGAUGAUUAUGCACUAAUCGUAAGCAAAAAAAGGGCUGCUUGGAGCUAAAUUCUGAGUUCUAUGGUUAAGGACUACGGAAACAGCUUAUUCUCUUUUACAGGCAACAGAACUGGAAGCAUAGUAAGUAAGACACACCGCAUCUAGAUGAAAGAGAGUAAUGAACAUUUAGACAUCAAAAUGAUCCUUGAGACUGCGUCAGUUUCUCUUUUAUGUCACCGCAGAAAUUGUCUUCCAUUUUCUCUGACCAGAACUCCUCAAAAGGCCAGCUGUUUUGUAUGCAGACAAAGGCUCCCAGUUGAUUCAUUUCAUCUGAACAGCUAGAGCUUGUUCAUCUGGGACAGAGACUAGACCGCCUUUGCAGACGACCUGGCAUGCCAAAUGGUCUUCAGCAAGCUUGGCCGUGGCUUCUGGUUCUGGGGAAGAAUCCUCAAUGGAUGAAGGAGCUUCAUCGGAUGCAUCUGACUGAGCUUCUUCUUCUGGCUGGAGAAUGGGCUCUGACAGCUCUGAGGCCUGGGUGACCAUCACAGCAUCUUUUUCUUCA